rnacentral:rRNA from 1 species
ACUCGAGCGGCGAACGGGUGAGUAACACGUGGGUAACCUGCCCUUAGCUUCGGGAUAAGCCUGGGAAACUGGGUCUAAUACCGGAUAGGACACAUGGCCGCAUGGUCUGUGUGUGGAAAGUUUUUCGGCUAGGGAUGGGCCCGCGGCCUAUCAGCUUGUUGGUGGGGUAGUGGCCUACCAAGGCGACGACGGGUAGCCGGCCUGAGAGGGCGACCGGUCACACUGGGACUGAGACACGGCCCAGACUCCUACGGGAGGCAGCAGUGGGGAAUAUUGCACAAUGGGCGGAAGCCUGAUGCAGCAACGCCGCGUGAGGGAUGACGGCCUUCGGGUUGUAAACCUCUUUCAGCGCUGACGAAGCCUUCGGGUGACUGUAGGCGCAGAAGAAGCACCGGCUAACUACGUGCCAGCAGCCGCGGUAAUACGUAGGGUGCGAGCGUUGUCCGGAAUUAUUGGGCGUAAAGGGCUCGUAGGCGGCGUGUCACGUCUGUCGUGAAAGCUCGGGGCUUAACUCCGAGUUGGCGGUGGAUACGGGCACGCUAGAGUCCGG